rnacentral:rRNA from 1 species
GUUAAAAAGCUCGUAGUCGAACUUCGGCCUCUGCCGCCCGGUCCGCCUAAUUGGGUGUGUACUGGAGCGGUGGAGGCUUACCUCGUGGUGAACGGCCAUGCCCUUUACUGGGUGUGGUCGGGAACCAUGACUUUUACUGUGAAAAAAUUAGAGUGUUCAAAGCAGGCUUACGCCCGAAUACAUUAGCAUGGAAUAAUAAAAUAGGACGUGCGGUCCUAUUUUGUUGGUUUCUAGGAUCGCCGUAAUGAUUAAUAGGGAUAGUUGGGGGCAUUCGUAUUCAAUUGUCAGAGGUGAAAUUCUUGGAUUUAUUGAAGACGAACUACUGCGAAAGCAUUUGCCAAGGAUGUUUUCAUUGAUCAAGAACGAAGGUUAGGGGAUCGAAAACGAUCAGAUACCGUUGUAGUCUUAACAGUAAACGAUGCCGACUAGGGAUCGGAUGAGGUUUUUAAUGACUCAUUCGGCACCUGAAGAGAAAUCUUUAAGUCAGGUUCGGGGGGGAGUAUGGUCGCAAGGCUGAAACUUAAAGGAAUUGACGGAAGGGCACCACCAGGUGUGGAGCCUGCGGCUUAAUUUGACUCAACACGGGGAAACUCACCAGGUCCAGACACGACAAGGAUUGACAGAUUGAUAGCUCUUUCUUGAUUUCGUGGUUGGUGGUGCAUGGCCGUUCUUAGUUGGUGGAGUGAUUUGUCUGGUUAAUUCCGAUAACGAACGAGACCUUAACCUGCUAAAUAGCCCGGCCGACUUUGGUUGGUCGCUGGCUUCUUAGAGGGACUAUCGACGUCUAGUC